AGAAAAAAGCACACCAAGAACUCAGGCCAAUGUAAGUUUCAAUAGUGGGAGUGGUCCCUACUAUUGAAACUUACAUUGGCUUGAGUUCUUGGUGUGCUU